AGAGUUUGAUCAUGGCUCAGAUUGAACGCUGGCGGCAUGCUUAAUACAUGCAAGUCGAACGGUAACAGGUCCUUCGGGAUGCUGACGAGUGGCGGACGGGUGAGUAAUGCAUAGGAAUCUGCCCAGUAGUAGGGGACAACCUGAGGAAACUCAGGCUAAUACCGUAUAAGUCCUACGGGAGAAAGGGGGCCUCUUCUUGAAAGCUCUCGCUAUUGGAUGAGCCUAUGUCGGAUUAGCUUGUUGGUGGGGUAACGGCCUACCAAGGCGACGAUCCGUAGCUGGUCUGAGAGGACGAUCAGCCACACUGGGACUGAGACACGGCCCAGACUCCUACGGGAGGCAGCAGUAGGGAAUAUUGGACAAUGGGCGAAAGCCUGAUCCAGCAAUGCCGCGUGUGUGAAGAAGGCCUGCGGGUUGUAAAGCACUUUCAGUUGGGAAGAAAAUCUUUAGGUUAAUAUCCUAAAGUCUUGACGUUACCAACAGAAGAAGCACCGGCUAACUCUGUGCCAGCAGCCGCGGUAAUACAGAGGGUGCGAGCGUUAAUCGGAGUUACUGGGGCGUAAAGCGUGCGUAGGCGGGUUAAGUCAGUCGGAUGUGAAAGCCCAAGGCUUAACCUUGGAACGGCAUUCGAUACUGCUUAGCUAGAGUACAGUAGAGGGAAGC
rnacentral:rRNA from 1 species